CCUACGGGUGGCUGCAGUGGGGAAUAUUGCGCAAUGGGCGCAAGCCUGACCCAGCAACGCCGCGUGAUUGAAGACGGCCUUCGGGUGGUAAAGAUCUUUAAUCGGGGACGAAUUUUGACGGUACCCGAAGAGUAAGCUCUGGCGAACUACGUGCCAGCAGCCGCGGUAAUACGUAGGGAGCCAGCGUUAUCCGGAUUUACUGGGUGUAAAGGGCGUGUAGGCGGGAAUGCAAGCCAGAGGUGAAAUCUGGGGGCUUAACCCCCAAACUGCUUUUGGAACUGCGUGUCUUGAGUGAUGGAGGGGCAGGCGGAAUGCGCAGUGUAGCGGUGAAAUGCGUAGAUAUUGGGAGGAACACCAGUGGCGAAGGCGGCCUGCUGGACAUUAACUGACGCUGAGGCGCGAAAGCGUGGGGAGCAAACAGGAUUAGAUACCCGUGUAGUC
rnacentral:rRNA from 1 species